rnacentral:rRNA from 1 species
GACGAACGCUGGCGGCGUGCUUAACACAUGCAAGUCGAACGGAAAGGCCCUGCUUGCCGGGUACUCGCGUGGCGAACGGGUGAGUAACACGUGGGUGAUCUGCCCUGCACUUCGGGAUAAGCCUGGGAAACUGGGUCUAAUACCGGAUAUGACCUUCCAUGUAGUGUGGGGGGUGGAAAGAUUUAUCGGUGUGGGAUGAGCCCGCGGCCUAUCAGCUUGUUGGUGGGGUAAUGGCCUACCAAGGCGUCGACGGGUAGCCGGCCUGAGAGGGUGGACGGCCACAUUGGGACUGAGAUACGGCCCAGACUCCUACGGGAGGCAGCAGUGGGGAAUAUUGCACAAUGGGCGGAAGCCUUAUGCAGCGACGCCGCGUGGGGGAUGACGGCCUUCGGGUUGUAAACCUCUGUCGACAGGGACGAAGCUUCGGUGACGGUACCUGUAUAAGAAGCACCGGCUAACUACGUG